rnacentral:rRNA from 1 species
CAACAGUUGGAAACGACUGCUAAUACCGCAUAAGCCCACGGCUCGGCAUCGAGCAGAGGGAAAAGGAGCAAUCCGCUUUGAGAUGGCCUCGCGUCCGAUUAGCUAGUUGGUGAGGUAAUGGCCCACCAAGGCGACGAUCGGUAGCCGGACUGAGAGGUUGAACGGCCACAUUGGGACUGAGACACGGCCCAGACUCCUACGGGAGGCAGCAGUGGGGAAUAUUGCACAAUGGGGGAAACCCUGAUGCAGCGACGCCGCGUGGAGGAAGAAGGUCUUCGGAUUGUAAACUCCUGUUGUUGGGGAAGAUAAUGACGGUACCCAACAAGGAAGUGACGGCUAACUACGUGCCAGCAGCCGCGGUAAAACGUAGGUCACAAGCGUUGUCCGGAAUUACUGGGUGUAGAGGGAGCGCAGGCGGGAAGACAAGUUGGAAGUGAAAUCUAUGGGCUCAACCCAUAAACUGCUUUCAAAACUGUUUUUCUUGAGUAGUGCAGAGGUAGGCGGAAUUCCCGGUGUAGCGGUGGAAUGCGUAGAUAUCGGGAGGAACACCAGUGGCGAAGGCGGCCUACUGGGCACCAACUGACGCUGAGGCUCGAAAGUGUGGGUAGCAAACAGGAUUAGAUACCCUGGUAGUCCACACCGU